UACGUAGGGUGCAAGCGUUGUCCGGAAUUAUUGGGCGUAAAGAGCUCGUAGGCGGUUCGUCGCGUCGGCUGUGAAAUCCCGAGGCUCAACCUCGGGUCUGCAGUCGAUACGGGCGGACUGGAGUACUGCAGGGGAGACUGGAAUUCCUGGUGUAGCGGUGAAAUGCGCAGAUAUCAGGAGGAACACCGGUGGCGAAGGCGGGUCUCUGGGCAGUUACUGACGCUGAGGAGCGAAAGCGUGGGGAGCAAACAGG
rnacentral:rRNA from 1 species